ACAGUGUGACGUAGUUUGACUCCGUGGCUACGAGAACGACGCUGGCGGCGUGCCUUACACAUGCAAGUCGAACGAGAAAGCCCUUCGGGGCAAGUACAGUGGCGGACGGGUGAGUAACGCGUGGGUAAUCUACCCCUGGGCGGGGGAUAACACUUCGAAAGAGGUGCUAAUACCGCAUAAGACCACGACCCUUCGGGGGCGUGGGAAAAGGUGGGGAUCUUCGGACCUGUCACCUAGGGAUGAGCCCGCGUACCAUUAGGUUGUUGGUGGGGUAAAGGCCUACCAAGCCAUAGAUGGUUAGCUGGUCUGAGAGGAUGAUCAGCCACACUGGGACUGAGACACGGCCCAGACUCCUACGGGAGGCAGCAGUGGGGAAUAUUGCGCAAUGGGGGCAACCCUGACGCAGCAACGCCGCGUGUGUGAAGAAGGCCCUCGGGUCGUAAAGCACUGUCGAAUAGAACGAGCCGGAUGCGGUUAAUACCCGUGUCCCCGACGGUACUAUUUGAGGAAGCACCGGCUAACUCCGUG
rnacentral:rRNA from 1 species